UUCAAACAAGUUGAAGAUGGUAACUCAAAG
rnacentral:piRNA from 1 species